ACCAAAGACCUAGCCUACCACCCAACAAUAAACCACAAACAUUAAUAAUACAUUAUACACUUAAAAAUAUAAAUAAAUCAUUUUUCCCUUUAAGUAUAGGAGAUAAAAAAAAG
rnacentral:rRNA from 1 species